AUCACACCCUUAAGACUUUGGA
rnacentral:miRNA from 1 species